rnacentral:lncRNA from 1 species
CAUUGUAUCUCAACUGUUCUUUUUCCUUCAUUUUUACUAUUUAGAAGGAGGUAGGUGAAGCCCUGAAAGAAGCCUUUGACAUUGAGAAAACCCCUUGUGCCAAUGCUGCAGUCAUUCAGGUGUUAACAGAGAAGACAGAGGCUGCCCAGCGCAUCAGUGAGGGCCUGAGGGAGCGAGUGGGAGCUGUGUGCCUGGACGAGUGCCUGAGCUUCCUCGAGAGCUAUGAAAAUGAAGUAAGAUGCUUUCUCCAGCUYGAUGGCUACCCUGGGAUCCGGGACAGCCUACGAAUCCUCGAGAACUUCUGCAUUCUCAGAGCUGCCUGGCAUAAGCUAACGUACAYUUGCAGUGCCAGCACUGAUCAGGAUGUUAAGGUAAAAGGAUGUCUAGACCGGAUGGGAGAGAAGAUUACAGAACACCUUCUGCAGACAAUCACUUCUGAAGUCAAGACAACACUGAAGGAUCACUUCAAAAAAUUUGACAGUGGUUUAGGCUACAUCCUAGAAUCCUUAAGGCAAAACUUUUUGGCAUUUGAAAAGAAAAAUACAGACACAUAUGAGGUAAGAAAUAAGUAAGAAGGUAAGAAUCACAGAAUCACAGAAUCGCAGAAUGGUUGAAGUUGGAAGGGAGAUCA